CUUAAAAAAAAAAAAAAAGAAUGUUUGUUACUGACUUACCUAUUUCAUCCCAGUACUUUAUAGGCAAAAUUAAAAAAAAAAACAGAGACCUAAAACCUAUUUUGGCACUGUCAAUGAAUAAUGUUCUUCACACCAUAAAACCCUCUUUGUCUAAUUCUGAUUCCGUAAAUUAGCUGAUAUCUCCCAUUCACUUCCCGUGAUGGUUAAGUCAACUUGGCUGGACAACUGUGCCGAGAUUAAUAUUGAAAUCAGUGGAGUUUGAGUAAAGCAGAUUGUACUCCAUAAUGUGGAUGGGCCUAAUUCAAUCAGCUGAAGGCCUUAAUAGAACAAAAACUGACCUCCCCCGAAAAAUGAAUGUUGCCAGGAGAUGGCCUUUAAAUUUGAACUGACCCUUCCCUGGGUCUCCAGCCCACUGGCCUACCCUGCAGAUUUUGGACUUAUUAGCCUUCAUAAUCACAUGAACCAAUUCCUUAAAAUGAAUAAAUCUCUCUUUCUCUCUCUCUCUCUCUACACACACACACACACACACACACACACACACACACACACCCUAUUGGCUCCAUUUUUCUGGAGAACCCUGACUAAUACCUAAGAAUCUUUUCCAUUAGCAUAAGCAUUAGCUUUUUUAUGCUGCUAAAGGAUGAUCGAUUAUUUUAAGGGAUGAAUUCAGUAAAUAGGUCCAUUGGCUUUUCUACAAGCAGAGCAAUUUAUUCUAUUCUUGUGGGCAAGAUGGCACGUAUGGGGUAUCUAUCUGGUGGUGAAAAAUGAUGGUGAUAAUGACAGUGAGAGCAGCUAACAUUUACCGAGUGCUUCCUCUUUGGCGGUCAUUGUGCUAAGCAUUUUACAUGUUAUCUGCAAAAUAGGUGCACAGUGAGGACUUUUGAAAAACUGCCCUCAGCUGGGAAGAGCUGCCUCAUCACAGGUCACGUUCCCUUUGGGGAGGGACAACCUCCUUCCAAUACCGGGGCAAUGCAGGAGACCCCAGCUCCCUCCCUAGAUUUUAAGACAAGUCUGAAGGACAAUCCAGCUUCAAAUGGGCCUGUAAGAUUGGCUGAAGCCUUGAAGACUAUACUGCAGCCUAGCUUCUCCCUCUUCCUUCUGCCACCCCACCCCCCCCACAGUAUGAAUCCCAGCAUCAAUCCCUAUUAUGCGUUCCCCCUGCUCACCUCCGUCUCAGAAUCUGCUUCUCAAAGAAUCCAACCUACACAACAAUGCUGUUGUGAGGAUUAAAUGAAAGAAUCCACAGAAAGUCCUUUGCCCAAGGCCUGACAGAGAGCAAGUAUUCAAACGAUGGGAUUGUUAUUAUCCACCUAAACAGAUGGACGUCAGCAGACAGGCACAGUGAGCGCCGUCCUCGCCAUUCCGUCCUGGACCCUCUCGGACCCAGGGAUCAGGGCAGUUUGGUUCCCUCUGCCUGGAACUCUGGGGAACAGGUUUGAACAGCCAGACAGCUUCACCUGUCACUCUGAGGCUUCAUCGUCAGACAUGUUAAACCCUGGAUAUGACCUUCAGGGUUACCCACGAGGAAGCAAUAAGAAAUCAAACCCAGGUGUCCUGACCAGUAGGUCACGUGUGCUCUGAGGCAUCCUUCUACGUCCAUGCACACCCUGCAGACAAAGUGCAGCUGCCUUCCUGUGCUGCAGUCGCAGGCACUUGGUUUCUGGGUCUGGAUGUUGCCCUCCUCCCAGGCAGGAUGUCAGCUCGGUCAGGAAAAAAAGAUACUGUUGAGUGCGUUUCCUCACUUUGAACAACCCUGAGUUAUUAGCACAGCGGUGGCUAUCCCCAUUCUACAGAUGAAGAGGCAAGGCUAGAGGAAGAAGAAGACGACAAGCUGAGUUUCCUGAGGACAUUCCUCGCUCUCCCAUGAGACCCUGAUGACAAUCUGCUGACUCCCAACCCGGGAGGAAUGAAAUUCAGGACGUAGGGGGGCUCCUUCCAAAGUCUGUGCCCUGUGGCUCUCCCCGCGGACUGCUGCUGGGGCCACCUCCCCAGAAGCCACAGACUGCACCAGCUUGGUGACAUCCCUGUAAACGGAGUCUACGCGCGCGCCAGGGCUGAAGCUGUCGAGCUCCUCCGUGUCCUCGGGUCCUGACUUGGUUGCUAACACAGUAAGCCCUGAAUUCAGUGACCGGGAGGCUUGGGGGUGGGGGGGCAGAGAAGACAAGAGCUCAGGGUGCUGGUAAAGUCACAAUUCAGAACCUCAACACAGAAGUGUCCCUGAUUCUGGGUUUCAGGGUGCAGGUGAGGGAGUGACUGGGGAGGGGAAAGUCGGGGAGCAUCUCAGGGAAAUAAACAGUGUCACCCCCUUCUCUGGUUUCAGGACCCGGAGCAAGCUGCCAGCUCAGAAGCCGUCUCAGAGAUCAGGAAAUGGGAGGAAAAAGGAUAUGAAUCAACCAAGUAGCUCAACCAGAUGGUUCUGGCCAGUUCCACCCUACCUCAUGUUCCUCUGCCCUGAAUGGUGGCCUUUACAAAGGAAGAGAAAGAGGGGUUUGCCAGAGCAGAGGGUGGACAGGGGUUCCCUUAGGCCCCGCUGAAUAAAAUCUCCAGAGGCCAAGGCAUUUUGUGGGAAGCUCCAAUCAUCCCUACUUAUUCUAGUUUUCAAGAAAAACCCCAGCCCUAACCUUUUCCCUUGCAAGAUGCCCUCAAAUUCCCCUGUGCAAGUCACAUGGAACACCCCAAGCCCUGCACGGCCUGUCCCCACAGCCACAUGAAGUGUGGGAGCUCACAUCCUUUCAGCCAGUGUUCAUAGUUUUCCUCGGUGAUCUCCACAGAGGUGGUCAUGAAACAGGGCUGAGGCCUUCUGUCAAAACCCCUGUGACUGACUAGCAGGGAAUCGUGGGGAGGGCUGAGAGAGACAGUAAAGGCAGAAAGACCCAGGAAGCGGUUUAUGGGACGGGAGACAGUAAAAUGGAUGAACAUUCAGAGGCCUGUCCUCCUUCCCCAAAACCAACAGCAAAAUUCAGCAGACCCAGGAGCACCCUCAGUUCAGGUCAUUGAGAAGAACUGAGCUUUGUACUCCUCGACAUCCCCUGAGGUGCCUAACACAGGGCUUUACACAGAGUGGACACUCAAUAAAUGUGCUAAUAAUUGACUUUUUUUUUU